ACUAAGCGUACACGGUGGAUGCCCUGGCAGUCAGAGGCGAUGAAGGACGUGCUAAUCUGCGAUAAGCGUCGGUAAGGUGAUAUGAACCGUUAUAACCGGCGAUUUCCGAAUGGGGAAACCCAGUGUGAUUCGUCACACUAUCAUUAACUGAAUCCAUAGGUUAAUGAGGCGAACCGGGGGAACUGAAACAUCUAAGUACCCCGAGGAAAAGAAAUCAACCGAGAUUCCCCCAGUAGCGGCGAGCGAACGGGGAGCAGCCCAGAGCCUGAAUCAGUGUGUGUGUUAGUGGAAGCGUCUGGAAAGGCGUGCGAUACAGGGUGACAGCCCCGUACACAAAAAUGCACAUAUUGUGAGCUCGAUGAGUAGGGCGGGACACGUGGUAUCCUGUCUGAAUAUGGGGGGACCAUCCUCCAAGGCUAAAUACUCCUGACUGACCGAUAGUGAACCAGUACCGUGAGGGAAAGGCGAAAAGAACCCCGGCGAGGGGAGUGAAAAAGAACCUGAAACCGUGUACGUACAAGCAGUGGGAGCACGCUUAGGCGUGUGACUGCGUACCUUUUGUAUAAUGGGUCAGCGACUUAUAUUCUGUAGCAAGGUUAACCGAAUAGGGAGCCGAAGGGAAACCGAGUCUUAACUGGGCGUUAAGUUGCAGGGUAUAGACCCGAAACCCGGUGAUCUAGCCAUGGGCAGGUUGAAGGUUGGGUAACACUAACUGGAGGACCGAACCGACUAAUGUUGAAAAAUUAGCGGAUGACUUGUGGCUGGGGGUGAAAGGCCAAUCAAACCGGGAGAUAGCUGGUUCUCCCCGAAAGCUAUUUAGGUAGCGCCUCGUGAAUUCAUCUCCGGGGGUAGAGCACUGUUUCGGCAAGGGGGUCAUCCCGACUUACCAACCCGAUGCAAACUGCGAAUACCGGAGAAUGUUAUCACGGGAGACACACGGCGGGUGCUAACGUCCGUCGUGAAGAGGGAAACAACCCAGACCGCCAGCUAAGGUCCCAAAGUCAUGGUUAAGUGGGAAACGAUGUGGGAAGGCCCAGACAGCCAGGAUGUUGGCUUAGAAGCAGCCAUCAUUUAAAGAAAGCGUAAUAGCUCACUGGUCGAGUCGGCCUGCGCGGAAGAUGUAACGGGGCUAAACCAUGCACCGAAGCUGCGGCAGCGACACUAUGUGUUGUUGGGUAGGGGAGCGUUCUGUAAGCCUGUGAAGGUGUACUGUGAGGUAUGCUGGAGGUAUCAGAAGUGCGAAUGCUGACAUAAGUAACGAUAAAGCGGGUGAAAAGCCCGCUCGCCGGAAGACCAAGGGUUCCUGUCCAACGUUAAUCGGGGCAGGGUGAGUCGACUCCUAAGGCGAGGCCGAAAGGCGUAGUCGAUGGGAAACAGGUUAAUAUUCCUGUACUUGGUGUUACUGCGAAGGGGGGACGGAGAAGGCUAUGUUGGCCGGGCGACGGUUGUCCCGGUUUAAGCGUGUAGGCUGGUUUUCCAGGCAAAUCCGGAAAACUAAGGCUGAGGCGUGAUGACGAGGCACUACGGUGCUGAAGCAACAAAUGCCCUGCUUCCAGGAAAAGCCUCUAAGCAUCAGGUAACAUCAAAUCGUACCCCAAACCGACACAGGUGGUCAGGUAGAGAAUACCAAGGCGCUUGAGAGAACUCGGGUGAAGGAACUAGGCAAAAUGGUGCCGUAACUUCGGGAGAAGGCACGCUGAUAUGUAGGUGAAGUCCCUCGCGGAUGGAGCUGAAAUCAGUCGAAGAUACCAGCUGGCUGCAACUGUUUAUUAAAAACACAGCACUGUGCAAACACGAAAGUGGACGUAUACGGUGUGACGCCUGCCCGGUGCCGGAAGGUUAAUUGAUGGGGUCAGCGCAAGCGAAGCUCUUGAUCGAAGCCCCGGUAAACGGCGGCCGUAACUAUAACGGUCCUAAGGUAGCGAAAUUCCUUGUCGGGUAAGUUCCGACCUGCACGAAUGGCGUAAUGAUGGCCAGGCUGUCUCCACCCGAGACUCAGUGAAAUUGAACUCGCUGUGAAGAUGCAGUGUACCCGCGGCAAGACGGAAAGACCCGUGAACCUUUACUAUAGCUUGACACUGAACAUUGAGCCUUGAUGUGUAGGAUAGGUGGGAGGCUUUGAAGUGUGGACGCCAGUCUGCAUGGAGCCGACCUUGAAAUACCACCCUUUAAUGUUUGAUGUUCUAACGUUGACCCGUAAUCCGGGUUGCGGACAGUGUCUGGUGGGUAGUUUGACUGGGGCGGUCUCCUCCUAAAGAGUAACGGAGGAGCACGAAGGUUGGCUAAUCCUGGUCGGACAUCAGGAGGUUAGUGCAAUGGCAUAAGCCAGCUUGACUGCGAGCGUGACGGCGCGAGCAGGUGCGAAAGCAGGUCAUAGUGAUCCGGUGGUUCUGAAUGGAAGGGCCAUCGCUCAACGGAUAAAAGGUACUCCGGGGAUAACAGGCUGAUACCGCCCAAGAGUUCAUAUCGACGGCGGUGUUUGGCACCUCGAUGUCGGCUCAUCACAUCCUGGGGCUGAAGUAGGUCCCAAGGGUAUGGCUGUUCGCCAUUUAAAGUGGUACGCGAGCUGGGUUUAGAACGUCGUGAGACAGUUCGGUCCCUAUCUGCCGUGGGCGCUGGAGAACUGAGGGGGGCUGCUCCUAGUACGAGAGGACCGGAGUGGACGCAUCACUGGUGUUCGGGUUGUCAUGCCAAUGGCACUGCCCGGUAGCUAAAUGCGGAAGAGAUAAGUGCUGAAAGCAUCUAAGCACGAAACUUGCCCCGAGAUGAGUUCUCCCUGACUCCUUGAGAGUCCUGAAGGAACGUUGAAGACGACGACGUUGAUAGGCCGGGUGUGUAAGCGCAGCGAUGCGUUGAGCUAACCGGUACUAAUGAACCGUGAGGCUUAACC
rnacentral:rRNA from 1 species